CUGGUCCUGGGCGUUUCCUGGUCGCUGGCAGGGAAGAGCAGGGGGCACCAUGGCCAUGGAGGAAAUGGAGCUGCUGCGUCGCCCAUGGACAUGGAGCUCGCCGAGGUCGGCCCAGGGAGCUCCUGCGCGCAGAGGAACAUCAGGGGGGGAAAGAAGCUCAGCCGUGGCUGCUGGAGGUGCUCGGCUAGGGAGGGAGCAUGGAGAUGGAGCCGGCUUCUAUGGGGAAGAAGGGGAGGACGCCAUGACUGUUGGUCGAGCUCCCUGCUGGCCGCCGUGGGGAAGAAGACAGGGAGUCGGCGGGAGCAGACCUGCGCUAGGGAGAAGGAGGAAGAGAGUGGCGGCUGA
rnacentral:misc_RNA from 1 species